GACUCGGGGUAUAUUUAUAGGAACAAAUACUACGUCACUAAAGAAUUUCAAUUUAAUUAGGAUUCUACUAACUAAUUUGAAUACAAUUAAGACUCCUAAAAGUACUAACACAAAGUCUUGUAUACAAUGGCUCUUAUAUCACGGUACAAUUUGAGUUCAAUUUUCAGGAAGCUGUGCACACAGUGGGACUUCAAGAUGAUACUACAUCCAUUGUGGUUGACAUAUUACCAUCAGAGAAAAUAUCACCUUCUUUUCCACCCUUUUAGAGGCCAGGAACAAGUGUAUUUAAGAAUAUGUUCCACUGAGGAUCUUCUGAAUCAUCAUUAUUUUCAGAUAGAGACUAUUCUGAAGCAGACAUGGUUGAAGAAAUAUUUAUGGGUCCCCAGUCCUUGCUCAAAGGUUAGAUCUAGAAUAUCCAGUGUGUACCAUGUUUAAGAUGCUCAAUUGUGCUGCUAUUUUCCAGUUGGAGAUGAAAGCAAGGGAAGGCGUUUCUGCGCAUGAUGGUUCAUCAAGACCUGGAAAAGUGCAUCCCCGGAAUGGUCUUUUCCUUUGCUCGAUUUGUCAAACCAAGAAGGAAGCCAUGGAAAGAAGACGUCCAUAGGGAGAUUGUGCCUACACAGAUAACUGAAUAAUCGCUGCAACUGUUGGUAUUAAUGGAUCCUACUUCUGGCACAACCUCAUCGGCAGUUCAACAGCUUAUCAAGUCAGCUCUCUAUGCCUUGGCAGCAUGCAAAAGAGCCAGUUCCUCUGCAGAUUGCGGUAACUGAGAACAUUUUGCUCCCUUUACUCUGAGGCCUUAGUAGAUUUGAGAUAACAGUGUGUUACUUUGUCAUCUUGUGUUCCAUAAAUUCGCAAGAAUAGAUCGGAUUAGCAAUUCUUUCCUGGUUAUCUGCCAUGUACAAGAACCGAUACAGAGGUGUUAAAACGGUCAGUCUGUACUUUGCACCUUUAUUGCUUGCUUAAGCAAGCCUUGUUUUCUUAAUUCG